rnacentral:rRNA from 1 species
CUGGCGGCAGGCCUAACACAUGCAAGUCGAACGACAUAGUGGCAGACGGGUGAGUAACGCGUGGGAACGUACCUUUCGCUACGGAAUAGCUCUUGGAAACGAGUGGUAAUACCGUAUACGCCCUUCGGGGGAAAGAUUUAUCGGCGAAAGAUCGGCCCGCGUUAGAUUAGUUUGUUGGUGGGGUAAUGGCCUACCAAGACUACGAUCUAUAGCUGGUCUGAGAGGAUGAUCAGCCACACUGGGACUGAGACACGGCCCAGACUCCUACGGGAGGCAGCAGUGGGGAAUCUUGCACAAUGGGCGAAAGCCUGAUGCAGCCAUGCCGCGUGAAUGAUGAAGGCCUUAGGGUUGUAAAAUUCUUUCGCUAGGGAUGAUAAUGACAGUACCUAGUAAAGAAGCCCCGGCUAACUUCGUGCCAGCAGCCGCGGUAAUACGAAGGGGGCUAGCGUUGUUCGGAAUUACUGGGCGUAAAGCGCACGUAGGCGGACUUUUAAGUCAGAUGUGAAAUCCCGGGGCUCAACCUCGGAACUGCAUUUGAAACUGGAAGUCUGGAGUUCAGGAGAGGUUAGCGGAAUACCGAGUGUAGAGGUGAAAUUCGUAGAUAUUCGGUGGAACACCAGUGGCGAAGGCGGCUAACUGGACUGAUACUGACGCUGAGGUGCGAAAGUGUGGGGAGCAAACAGGAUUAGAUACCCUGGUAGUCCACACCGUAAACGAUGACAGCUAGUUGUUGGCAGGCAUGCCUGUCGGUGACGCAGCUAACGCAUUAAGC